UACGUAGGUGGCAAGCGUUGUCCGGAUUUACUGGGCGUAAAGGGCGUGCAGGCGGUCUGUGUAGUCUAGGGUGAAAGCUCCCGGCUCAACUGGGAGAGGUCCUUGGAUACUGGCAGACUUGAGGGAGGUAGAGGAGAGUGGAAUUCCCGGUGUAGUGGUGAUAUGCGUAGAUAUCGGGAGGAACACCAGUGGCGAAGGCGGCUCUCUGGGCCUUACCUGACGCUGAGACGCGAAAGCGUGGGGAGCGAACCGG
rnacentral:rRNA from 1 species